ACGCUCGACACCUACGGGAGGCAGCAGUGGGGAAUAUUGCACAAUGGGGGAAACCCUGAUGCAGCGACGCCGCGUGAGCGAAGAAGUAUUUCGGUAUGUAAAGCUCUAUCAGCAGGGAAGAAACUGACGGUACCUGACUAAGAAGCACCGGCUAAAUACGUACCAGCAGCCGCGGUAAUCUGAGCGGCUGGCAAGGC
rnacentral:rRNA from 1 species